CGGAGGAACAUGUGGUUUAAUUCGAUGAUACGCGAGGAACCUUACCUGGGCUUAAAUGUAGAGUGCAUUUUUAGAGAUAGAAAUUCCCUUCGGGGCUUUCUGCAAGGUGCUGCAUGGUUGUCGUCAGCUCGUGCCGUGAGGUGUCGGGUUAAGUCCCAUAACGAGCGCAACCCUUAUCGUUAGUUGCCAGCUGGUAAAGCAGGGGACUCUAGCGAAACUGCCACCGUAAGGUGAGAGGAAGGUGGGGAUGACGUCAAAUCAGCACGGCCCUUAUGGGCUGGGCUACACACGUGCUACAAUGGCCGGUACAGAGGGUUGCCAACCCGCGAGGGGGAGCCAAUCUCAGAAAACCGGUCGUAGUCCGGAUCGCAGUCUGCAACUCGACUGCGUGAAGUCGGAAUCGCUAGUAAUCGCGAAUCAGCAUGUCGCGGUGAAUACGUUCCCGGGCCUU
rnacentral:rRNA from 1 species